GGCCACUGCGCAUGCUCCCCAGCUGGGCCGGCUGCGGACGCGGGAAGGGAGGUGGUGGCGACUGACGGAACUGGGUGAAGCAGCCCCAUUUGAAGCACUCGUUUCCUGUGGCCACGAUGGUGUGUCUGCCUGCACCACCGUAAGUAACCUCUGCUCUGCAGCCUCGCCUCCUCCUGCUGAAGAGUUGACUGAUUUCCUUGGAAACCACAUGUGCCGCAUUAACCAGAAGGAACUUGGGGUGGACAGUUAGGCUCCUGAAGUCCUCGCCCUGUUUUUGCUAUCAACAUUUGAAGUGAUUCUGAACAAACACUUAACCUCUUUAA
rnacentral:lncRNA from 1 species